UACAGAGGUCCCAAGCGUUGUUCGGAUUCAUUGGGCGUAAAGGGUGCGUAGGCGGCGGGGUAAGUCUGAUGUGAAAUACUGAGGCUCAACCUUGGAACUGCAUUGGAUACUGCCUUGCUAGAGUACUGGAGAGGAGACUGGAAUUUACGGUGUAGCAGUGAAAUGCGCAGAUAUCAGGAGGAACACCAAUGGCGAAGGCAGCUCGCUGGGACGGUACUGACGCUGAGACGCGAAAGCGUGGGGAGCAAACAGG
rnacentral:rRNA from 1 species